GACGAGGGGUCCAAGCGUUGUUCGGAAUUAUUGGGCGUAAAGCGGGUGUAGGUGGCUCUAUAAGUCAGAAGUGAAAGCCCCGGGCUUAACCCGGGAAGCGCUUUUGAUACUGCAGAGCUUGAAUGUGGGAGAGGGUAGUGGAAUUCCAGGUGUAGUGGUGAAAUACGUAGAUAUCUGGAGGAACACCGGUGGCGAAGGCGGCUACCUGGCCCAACAUUGACACUGAGACCCGAAAGCGUGGGGAUCAAACAGG
rnacentral:rRNA from 1 species